rfam:Gossypium hirsutum cultivar TM-1 chromosome 2, whole genome shotgun sequence
UGUUAAAAACUUUAUCCAUUUCAACUAUUAAAAAUUUGUGUAGCUAACAAAAUAACCAGAUAGUUACUUGUGAUAUGACACGUGUACUUCAUGUUGACGUACAAGGACCAAUUUUUAAAAGUAGAUAUGGAUGAAUUUUUUAUA